AUUGAACGCUGGCGGCAGGCCUAACACAUGCAAGUCGAACGAGUGGCGGACGGGUGAGUAAUGUCUGGGAACCUGCCUGAUGGAGGGGGAUAACUACUGGAACCGGUAGCUAAUACCGCAUACCAUCGGAUGUGCCCAGGUGGGAUUAGCUAGUAGGUGGGGUAAAGGCUCACCUAGGCGACGAGCCCUAGCUGGUCUGCGAGGAUGACCAGCCACACUGGAAGUGAGCAAGGGCCCAGACCCUUAGGGGGGCGAGCAGUGGGAAAUAUUGCACAAUGGGCGCAAGCCUGAUGCAGCCAUGCCGGUUGUAUGAAGAGGGCCUUCGGGUUGUAAAGUACUUUCAGCGGGGAGGCGUUACCCGCAGAAGAUGCACCGCUAACUCCGUGCCAGCAGCCGCGGUAAUUC
rnacentral:rRNA from 1 species